UGUGAGGUGCGGUCCCUGGCUCAGUCCUGAGAGAUGGAGUCAAAGGCUCCCGUGCUGUGGAUCCUGCUGCUUUUGGUUCCAGGCUCCACUGGGGACAUUGUGCUGACCCAGGCUCCAGCUUCCUUGGCUGUGGCUCCAGGAGAGAAGGCCAUCCUCUACUGCAGGUCCAGCAAGAGUGUUAAUAAAUUUGGAAUCGAGCUUCUGCACUGGUAUCAGCAUAAGCCAGGCCAGCCUCCCAAACUCCUGACCGAUACCGCAUAUAGCAAUGCUGCUGGGGUGCCAGAGCGGUUCAGUGGUUGGGACAAUGGGACACACUUCACCCUCACCAUUCACCCUGUGGAGCUCGAGGAUGCUGCAGACUACUUCUGUCAGCAGGGGAUAGAGAGCCCUCCCACAGUGCUCUAG